UACAGAGGAUGCAAGCGUUAUCCGGAAUGAUUGGGCGUAAAGCGUCUGUAGGUGGCGUUUUAAGUCCGCCGUCAAAUCCCAGGGCUCAACUCUGGACAGGCGGUGGAAACUACCAAGCUGGAGUACGGUAGGGGCAGAGGGAAUUUCCGGUGGAGCGGUGAAAUGCGUAGAGAUCCGGAGGAACACCAGAGGCGAAGGCGGCCUGCUGGGCUGCACCUGACGCUGAGCCGCGAAAGCCAGGGGAGCGAACGGG
rnacentral:rRNA from 1 species